UUGGUCUUCCCACCAACUCCAUGAAAGUGGAUUUUAUUAUCCUCAUCAUGCAGAUGAGAAUAUUGAGACUUAUAGCGGUAUGCCUGAGCCCCAAAGUACUCAGAGUUGCCUGGCUCCAAGAUUUAUAAUCUUAAAUGAUGGGACUACCAUCCUUACUCUCUCCAUUUUUCUAUACGGUAAAAAACUUGUUGCUGCAAGUCAAGCUGCCUUAGGCUUAUAACAUCACAUUUAAAAGCAUCUCAGCCUACCAUGAGAAUAAGAGAAAGAAAAUGAAGAUCAAAAGCUUAUUCAUCUGUUUUUCUUUUUCGUUGGUGUAAAGCCAACACCCUGUCUAAAAAACAUAAAUUUCUUUAAUCAUUUUGCCUCUUU
rnacentral:lncRNA from 10 species